AAAAGAAACUAACAAGGAUUCCCCUAGUAACUGCGAGUGAAGCGGGAAAAGCUCAAAUUUAAAAUCUGUCAGUCUUUGGCUGUCCGAGUUGUAAUCUAGAGAAGCGUUAUCCGCGCUGGACCGUGUACAAGUCUCCUGGAAUGGAGCGUCAUAGAGGGUGAGAAUCCCGUCUUUGACACGGACUGCCAGUGCUUUGUGAUGCGCUCUCAAAGAGUCGAGUUGUUUGGGAAUGCAGCUCAAAAUGGGUGGUAAAUUCCAUCUAAAGCUAAAUAUUGGCGAGAGACCGAUAGCGAACAAGUACCGUGAGGGAAAGAUGAAAAGAACUUUGGAAAGAGAGUUAAACAGUACGUGAAAUUGCUGAAAGGGAAACGCUUGAAGUCAGUCGCGUUGUCCAGGGAUCAACCUUGCUUCUGCUUGGUGUACUUUCUGGUUGACGGGUCAGCAUCAAUUUUGACCAUUGGAAAAAGAUUAAGGGAAUGUGGCAUCCUUGGAUGUGUUAUAGCCUUUGGUUGCAUACAAUGGUUGGGAUUGAGGAACUCAGCACGCCGCAAGGCCGGGUUUUAACCACGUACGUGCUUAGGAUGCUGGCAUAAUGGCUUUAAUCGACCCGUCUUGAAACACGGACCAAGGAGUCUAACAUGCCUGCGAGUGUUUGGGUGGAAAACCCGAGCGCGUAAUGAAAGUGAAAGUUGAGAUCCUUGUCAUGGGGAGCAUCGACGCCCGGACCAGACCUUUUGUGACGGUUCCGCGGUAGAGCAUGUAUGUUGGGACCCGAAAGAUGGUGAACUAUGCCUGAAUAGGGUGAAGCCAGAGGAAACUCUGGUGGAGGCUCGUAGCGAUUCUGACGUGCAAAUCGAUCGUCAAAUUUGGGUAUAGGGGCGAAAGACUAAUCGAACCAUCU
rnacentral:rRNA from 1 species